AUGCCAUGGUGGGGACAUUGUCUAAGAAGCUCCUUGAAUCUCUCUUAAGCAUCAAAUAAGGACCCAUCCUCUCCUUGCCUAAACGAGGUUAUUUCAUUUCUAAUUUU